UCAACUUGCUUCUGCCAUGCCAGCGUCACCCCUGGUCUCAGGUGAUUUCUUAGGCUAAUUCUCAGAGAUGGGGUUAUUGGGCCAAAAAAGCCUACUAUGGCUUUCCGAAGCUCUCAUUGUUCCCAUUAUCUCAUGCAUCCCUGAGAUGCAGUCAGCAGAGGAUUCUAUUUGAGGGACUAAACACUCCCGGGGAAAGCAGGAAGAAGGAGACGGGAAAUAACAUUUGCUAUUGAGCGCCAGGCAUCGUCCUACAGGCUUCAAAGUGAACCUUGGAUGUGCUGCUGAUCUGACCUGCCCAGAUUUGUCAUCAUUGUUAUUGUCUUGGCCGCUUAUGAAGACGUUCACCCAGCAGGACUUUAGAAGCUUUGUUCACUCGAUCUCAUUUAAUCCUCACAAUAGUGCCCUAAGGAAGAUAUUAGUAUCCCCAUUUUACAAAGAAGGAAACAGGAACCUGGGGAGAUUAAGCGAAGGCCUCACAGAUCAUGAAUAGAAGAGUCUGGAAACCUAGUCUGGUUCAAGGUUGUGCUCUUUCUGCUCUGCCAUGCUGUGCUACAGCC
rnacentral:lncRNA from 1 species